rnacentral:rRNA from 1 species
GGAAUAUUGGGCAAUGGAGGAAACUCUGACCCAGCGACGCCGCGUGCGGGAUGAGGGCCUUCGGGUUGUAAACCGCUUUCAGUAGGGAAGAAGCGAAAGUGACGGUACCUACAAAAGAAGCACCGGCUAACUAUGUGCCAGCAGCCGCGGUAAUACAUAGGGUGCAAGCGUUGUCCGGAAUUAUUGGGCGUAAAGAGCUCGUAGGUCGUUUGUUACGUCGGAUGUGAAAACCUGAGGCUCAACCUCAGGCCUGCAUUCGAUACGGGCAAACUAGAGUUUGGUAGGGGAGACUGGAAUUCCUGGUGUAGCGGUGGAAUGCGCAGAUAUCAGGAGGAACACCAAUGGCGAAGGCAGGUCUCUGGGCCAAUACUGACACUGAGGAGCGAAAGUCUGGGGAGCGAACAGGAUUAGAUACCCUGGUAGUCCAGACCGUAAACGGUGGGCACUAGUUGUGGGAACCUUCCACGGUUUCUGCGACGCAGCUAACGCAUUAAGUGCCCCGCCUGGGGAGUACGAUCGCAAGAUUAAAACUCAAAGGAAUUGACGG